rnacentral:rRNA from 1 species
UAGGGAAUCUUCCACAAUGGACGCAAGUCUGAUGGAGCAACGCCGCGUGAGUGAAGAAGGUUUUCGGACCGUAAAGCUCUGUUGUUGGUGAAGAAGGAUAGAGGUAGUAACUGGCCUUUAUUUGACGGUAAUCAACCAGAAAGUCACGGCUAACUACGUGCCAGCAGCCGCGGUAAUACGUAGGUGGCAAGCGUUGUCCGGAUUUAUUGGGGCGUAAAAGUGAGCGCA